CAAAAUGUAGCUUAACUCAAAGCCCCUCGCUUACACCGAGAAAAUGUCUGUGGAACCCAAACCAUUUUGA